AGUGAACGCUGGCGGUAGGCCUAACACAUGCAAGUCGAACGGCAGCACAGGAGAGCUUGCUCUCUGGGUGGCGAGUGGCGGACGGGUGAGGAAUACAUCGGAAUCUACUCUGUCGUGGGGGAUAACGUAGGGAAACUUACGCUAAUACCGCAUACGACCUACGGGUGAAAGCAGGGGAUCUUCGGACCUUGCGCGAUUGAAUGAGCCGAUGUCGGAUUAGCUAGUUGGCGGGGUAAAGGCCCACCAAGGCGACGAUCCGUAGCUGGUCUGAGAGGAUGAUCAGCCAAACUGGAACUGAGACACGGUCCAGACUCCUACGGGAGGCAGCAGUGGGAAUAUUGGACAAUGGGCGCAAGCCUGAUCCAGCCAUACCGCGUGGGUGAAGAAGGCCUUCGGGUUGUAAAGCCCUUUUGUUGGGAAAGAAAUCCAGCUGGCUAAUACCCGGUUGGGAUGACGGUACCCAAAGAAUAAGCACCGGCUAACUUCGUGCCAGCAGCCGCCGUAA
rnacentral:rRNA from 1 species